UUGGAGCUGAGCAUCCAGGAGAAGCUAGAAAAGACUGGGAGAAGGACAGAAGGUAAAAAGUAAAGGAGGAAGACUGAGAAGGAAGACUUGGAGAGAAAAUAUGGAGCAGAGAUAUGUGAUGAAUCUGUGUUUGCUUCUUGGCCUUGGACUUGAACCAGGGACAUGAAAGGAGACACUUGAAAAAAACAGAGACAUAGAAUCAUGAAAUACUGCAGAAAAAACAUUGCCGCAACAGGGAAUGAAGAAUUUGGGGUCUCAUAGAAAGUCUGAGACUCCUGAGUACAGGAUACACAGGAAAGUAAAGCAUCAAGUGAUAAUGAUUGAAAUAAGAAAAAUACCUUGAUGGACCUCGUUUAGCAGAAAAGGUAACUUCUUAUUCAUACUUCCACCAUGUCCAAGGUGUGGUUUAUAAAGAGGAGAUAAAACAAUGAAAAAACUAAAAUUUUCUGUACAAGUGGGAAGUUGUAACAUUUUUGAGAACAAGUCAGGAGAAAAGAGAG